GUACACUCCUGCGGGAGGCAGCAGUGGGGAAUAUUGCACAAUGGGCGCAAGCCUGAUGCAGCCAUGCCGCGUGUAUGAAGAAGGCCUUCGGGUUGUAAAGUACUUUCAGCGGGGAGGAAGGCGAUAAGGUUAAUAACCUUGUUGAUUGACGUUACCCGCAGAAGAAGCACCGGCUAACUCCGUGCCAGCAGCCGCGGUAAUACGGAGGGUGCAAGCGUUAAUCGGAAUUACUGGGCGUAAAGCGCACGCAGGCGGUCUGUCAAGUCGGAUGUGAAAUCCCCGGGCUCAACCUGGGAACUGCAUUCGAAACUGGCAGGCUAGAGUCUUGUAGAGGGGGGUAGAAUUCCAGGUGUAGCGGUGAAAUGCGUAGAGAUCUGGAGGAAUACCGGUGGCGAAGGCGGCCCCCUGGACAAAGACUGACGCUCAGGUGCGAAAGCGUGGGGAGCAAACAGGAUUAGAUACCCGGGUAGUCC
rnacentral:rRNA from 1 species